CUCUCGCAUCGAUGAAGAACGUAGCGAAAUGCGAUACGUGGUGUGAAUUGCAGGAUCCCGUGAACCAUCGAGUUUUUGAACGCAAGUUGCGCCCAAAGCCAUUCGGCCGAGGGCACGUCUGCCUGGGCGUCACGCACCGUUGCCCCCCUAUCUUAAUCUAACC
rnacentral:rRNA from 1 species